UCGCGGCGGCGGCGUCUCUGGAAGGUUUUCCGUAUCGUGGCUCUCGGUACUGGGGUUUUCGCGACGGAGGCUUUAAGUAGGCGGAAGGGCAACGCGGGGGGCCACACGAGGGCCCCACACCCUAGGUCGGCGCGGCCAGGGCCUGGGCCGCGCCGCCCUAUGGUGUCGGCGCCUCGUGGCCCCACUUCCUUCCCUCUUCGGUCUUCUGGAAGCUUCGUGCAAAAAUAGGACCCUGGGCGAAGAUUUCGUCCAAUUCCGAGAAUAUUUCCUUACUAGGAUUUCUGAAACCAAAAACAGCAGAAAACAGCAACUGGCUCUUCGGCAUCUUGUUAAUAGGUUAGUUCCAGAAAAUGCAUAAAUAUGACAUAUAAUGUGCAUAAAACAUGUAGGUAUCAUCAAUAAAGUAGCAUGGAACAUAAGAAAUUAUCGAUACGUUGGAGACGUAUCAGCAUCCCCAAGCUUAGUUCUGCUCGUCCCGAGCAGGUAAAACGAUAACAAAGAUAAUUUCUGAAGUGACAUGCCAUCAUAAUCUUGAUCAUACUAUUUGUAAACAUAUGUAAUGAAUGCAGCGAUCAAAACAAUGGUAAUGACAUGAGUAAACAACUGAAUCAUAAAGCAAAGACUUUUCAUGAAUAGUACUUCAAGACAAGCAUCAAUAAGUCUUGCAUAAGAGUUGACUCAUAAAGCAAUAAAUCAAAGUAAAGGUGUUGAAGCAACACAAAGGAAGAUUAAGUUUCAGCGGUUGCUUUCAACUUAUAACAUGUAUAUCUCAUGGAUAUUGUCAACAUAAAGUAAUAUAACAAGUGCAAUAUGCAAGUAUGUAGGAAUCAAUGCACA